UCUAGACUAGUCACCACUGAAUAACUGUGGAGCGACUGGUAGUGUUAUAGUUUGGUAGUGUCAUUACAAUGCGACUUGGAGGGCAAUGACCAUGAUGGUGUCAUACGAAACAGCACUCAGCUGCAAAUGUUAGAAUCAGAUGUUAUGGCUUACUGAAGACAGUUUUUACAGUUGGGUGCAGUAGUUCUGUUGAAGUUUGGCAGACAUAUCUAAUAAAAUAGGAAGUUAAUUACACUGAAGGAUGCUUGCAUUUUGGUCAGAGCUCAGCCUGACGGUUGCCUCUAGCACACCUCCGGAAAAACAGAGAGAGCUGAUAAAUCACCUUCAGGAACAGUCAGAUCUUGAAUUCCGACAAGGCUCACCAUACCUGUCUCCUGUGGAAUGUGAUCCAGAAAUCUGUUAAGCAACAAAUGCUCGAAUGUUUAUCAAAUGCUGAGAAUUCUCUAGAAGGUAGUUAAGAAAAAAAAUGAAAAAGUCCCUGAAGGACUGUGUCCAGCAAAACAGCUUGCUAUUCUUCUGAAUUCUAAUGUGUGUGAGAGAAAUAAACUUUGUUUUGAAGGCACUA